UUUUUUCUGUGUCUAUCCCAUAGGAUUGGAAAGAAGCUUUCAAAGAUUCUAAUUGGAAGGGAGCAAUGAUUGAAGAAAUGAAAGCAUUGGCUAAAGAUGAGACAUGGGAGUUGAUGUCUCUUCCACCUGAAAAAAAAAAAACAGUUGGUUGCAAAUGGGUGUUCACUGUGAAACACAAAGCAGAUGGAUCAAUUGAAAGAUUCAAAGCCAGACUAAUUGCUAAGGGAUACACUCAAACCUAUGAAAUAGAUUACCAGGAGACAUUUGCCCCAUGUUGCGAAAAUGAACUCAAUCAGAGUAUUGCUAUCUUGCACUGCCAAUCUUGACAGGGACCUACAGCAAUUUGAUGUGAAAAAUGCAUUCUUUUAUGGAGACUUGGAGGAGGAAGUGUAUAUAGAAAUCCCUCAUGGAUUUGCUGAUGAAAUAACACAAGGAAAGGUGUGCAGGGUAAAAAAGGCUUUAUAUGGGUUGAAACACUCACUCAGAGCUUGGUUUGAUCGAUUCAGCAGAGCUAUGAUUUCCUUUGACUAUCAACAGAGAAAUGCUGACCAUACUUUAUUUAACAGACAUCACAAAGGUAAAAUUACUCUUCUCAUAGUCUAUGUUGAUGACAUAGUAAUGAUAGGGGAUGACACUGAUGAGACGACUCCGCUGAAAAAACUUUUGGCUCAGGAAUUCGAAAUUAAAGAUUUAGAAAAACUACAGUAUUUCCAGGGAAUCAAGGUUGCCAGGUCAAAAAUAGGCACUUGUUAGAAGUAGCCAGAUCUCUCCUUUUCACUAUGAAUCUUCCAAAAACCUAUUGGGGAGAUGCAGUCUUAAUCGCAGCUUAUCCCAUUAAUAGAAUGCCUCUCAAAACUCUUACCUUUAAAAACCCUUUAGAGGUGUUGCAAGAGAAAAAUGUUUAUACUGUUCCACCAAAGGUGUUUGGAUGCACGUGUUUUGUUCAUACUAGGAUAGGUGGGAAGCUUGAUCCAAAGGCUCUUAAAUGUGUGUUUGUUAGGUAAUCUCCCAUACAGAAGGGUUACAAAUUUUAUCACCCUCCAUCUAGAAAAUAUUUUAUAAGUAUGGAUGUUACAUUUAGAGAGACUAAACCUUACUUCAAUACUACCCCAUCACCUCUUCAUGGGGAGGAUAAUGAGAGAGAAGAGAUGAUUCCUAGUCCUAUAACUCUAGAACGUUUUGCUCUAGAUGAGAUUACUAUAUUGAGAAGACUAUUGAUGAUCAUGAAACUACUAUACAGGAGAAACUAUCGGUGACUAAAUUGGGCGUUUGGAUAAACCAGAUUUAAGGAGAUACUCAAGAAGAGACAAACCAGAAACAGAAAAAGCCAUUGUGCAGCAUACUCAAUGUCAUGAAUCUUCCUCUUCUCCAUCUGGUGAGUCAUUUCUAAACCUUGAGCCCAUUGAUGAUCUAAAUAAACCAAUUGCUUAAAGAAAUAGAGUUAGGCCUUGCACAAACCUAUAAAGCCUCUGCCUUAUCUAUUUUUUCUGUGUCUAUCCCAUAGGAUUGGAAAGAAGCUCUCAAAGAUUUUAAUUGGAAGGGAGCAAUUAUUAAAGAAAUGAAAGCAUUGGCUAAAGAUGAGACAUGGGAGUUCAUGUCUCUUCCACCUGAAAAAAAAAACAGUUGGUUUCAAAUGGGUGUUCACUGUGAAACACAAAGCAGAUGGAGCAAUUGAAAGAUUCAAAGCCAGACUAUUUGCCAAGGGAUACACUCAAACCUAUGAAAUGGAUUAUCAGGAGACAUUUGCCCCUGUUAUCAAAAUGAACUCAAUCAGAGUAUUGUUAUCUUGGACUGCCAAUCUUGACUGGGACCUACAGCAAUUUGAUGUGAAAAUGCAUUCUUUUAUGGAGACUUGGAGGAAGAAGUAUAUAUGGAAAUCCCUCCUGGAUUUGCUGAUGAAAUAACACAAGUAAAGGUGUGCAGGCUAAAAAAGGCUUUAUAUGGGUUGAAACACUCACUCAGAGCUUGGUUUGAUCGAUUCAGCAGAGCUAUGAUUUCCUUUGACUAUCAACAGAUAAAUGCUGACCAUACUUUAUUUAUCAGACAUCACAAAGGUAAAAUUACUCUUCUCAU
rnacentral:lncRNA from 1 species